GAUGCGGUCAGCUAAAUAAGCUCUCGGGCCCAUACCCCGAGCAUGAUGGUUAAAAUCCAUCCCUCAUCA
rnacentral:tRNA from 1 species